CAAAGGAGAACGAGGAUUUCCAGGGCCUCCAGGAAGAUGUCUUUGUGGAACCCCCGUGAAUGUGAAUAACCCUUCUUAUGGGGAAUCCGUGUAUGGGCCCAGCUCCCCGAGAGUCCCUGCGAUUUUCGUGGUCAACAACCAGGAGGAGCUUGAGAGGCUGAACACCAAACAUGCCAUCGCCUUCCGCAAAGACCAGAGAUCCCUGUACUUCAAGGACAGCCUUGGCUGGCUCCCCAUCCAGCUGACCCCCUUCUAUCCUGUGGACUACUCUGUAGACCACCGCGGCUCCUGUGGGGACGGGGUCCUGCAGCCCGGGGAGGAGUGUGACGACGGGAACGACGAUGUGGGUGACGACUGCAUCAGCUGUCACCGGGCAUACUGUGGAGAUGGCCACCGGCACAAGGGCGUGGAAGACUGUGACGGCUCUGACUUUGGCCACCUGACGUGUGAGACCUAUCUCCCUGGGU